GCAGCACCAGGAAAAUGAACUGAUGUUUUGUCUGGCUGCUGCAUAAACUUAAAGCAGCAGGCGAUACUGGAGACUUGCUUGUUCUCCAUUGGCAGCGCUUCUGUCGGUUUUUAAGUUGGGAACUUCCAGAUGCAGAACAAACUCAAAUUGCUUUGUAAUAAACAAAAACCGUACUUGAGAAUAUUUGAUCCUAUCUUGUUCUUGAACGUUGCGUAACUCUGAGAAUAAACAAUUGCAUUCUGUAUAUAUUUACCUAGUUGCUUUCUAGACAGUUGUUUAAUGUUCCAAUGCUUGUAUGUUAAAUAAAUGUGCUGUUAUUUUGUAGAAUUCUAAAGAAAGUCUCACUUGUUUCACAGCAGUGUGACAAAACAGUAGGGAACGUAUGACUGGAUAGAAUAAAAUGCAGAACGCUUUUUUUUGGUCAGAUGGGCAGCUCUCUGGAAUAGUAGACAUUUGUGCUCAAAAAAGGAAAGUAAAGUCUGUGCACUUCUAAGUACCCAAACAGCUGAUAUUUCUGUGUCUUUGCAGAGGUGUUUGAUUUAAAAGUGAUAGACAGAAAUGGGUUUUGUCCUUACAUGGAUUUUAUUCGAAUACUAAAGCACAAUACUUUUAAACAAUAUAAUCUUCUUCUGAAUAGUAAGAAUUGAUGAUGAAGAGUUUCAAAGACUUUUGUGAUGGCAGCUUGACAGGUUGCCAGGAUGUUGUUCAGAAUCACUCGCGCUACACAGAAAUUCCACGCCAUGUUGCAUAUAACCGGUGUGACUCCUUCAUCCCUACGCUCACGCCCGUGCAGAUAAAGCCGGAGGAGGCUUUGUUGCUUCCUGCCCGGCCCACUUGUCAUGGCCGGGCCCUGUGGCUGUGGUGUUAGGCCUGAGGCGAGGCAGCCCGGCCGGAGCUCCCUGAGGCCUGCCAGCAGCAUGGCUGUCACGGCGCUCUCCUUCCAGCCCCGUGGCGCUCGGCCUGUCAUGGUGGGCAGCCCCUCACGGGGCAGGUGCUCGUCGGUCACCCACUGCUGCCCUCACAGCUCCCGGCUGCGGCCUUCGGUCUGACUUGCUUUCUCCCAUCUCGUCUUUGUUGGCUGGAAGGAUUAUGUUCUUCGUUUGUCACCUCUGAGAAGGAAGGACGUUUACUGGGGGGAAAAUAAAACUUGGAAGGGAUUUUUUUUUCUUGGUAUUCUUCCAUGCCCUUCUCCCCAGAAGAGACCUGUCUGUUCCUUCUCUCCCCAAGUGUUAGAGUACUUGUUCUUAUAUCGGGAUGUGGGUUGUGAUGUACCAAGAUAGAAACUUAAACUUUGUUUUCAAUUAACUGUGUGUGUAAAAAGCUGUAUUGUAUCCCUUUCCUUCUUUUCUAGUUUACAAGCUGCUGUUGUAACCAUUGACUAAACAAAACUUGGGUAUGUACUUGUGCUCAAAUUUAUUUUUUUAUGGAGAACGAGAGAAAAAAAACAACAACUCCCAAGUGCUUUGCAAAUAACUUGUUUCUUGCUUUGUAAAGUUCUAAAAGCCUCAGCAGACUUUGUCCAAACUUAGGGUCUGACGAAACUCCAAGUAACAUUUAUGAAGGAUGUAAGACAGUGCUAUCCAGCAGCUGCAACUCUUUGGCAUGCUGUUUGUUUAAACAAAUAAAGAGAACAUUAUGAGGAAAGAUGAUGUUGCGCAGACAAUUUAUUUCUUUGCAAUUGAUUUCAGAGGGAAGAUUUUUUUCCUUUUUAUUUGCGAUUCAUCAGUUAACCCUUCUGUUAACUCUUCAGUUAAACCUCCCUGUGGCUUCUUUCACUGUCAGUUUUGUGGCUCUUCCCUUGCCUUCUUGUAACGUGGUUGCUUUCUGCAACAAAUGGAAU